CUGGAUAUUUUGCUUCACUUCGUGGUGAUCUCUGUGAAGUUUCUGGCUAAAGUACUCAAUCAAUGACAAUGAAUGGAAUCCUAUUCCUAGGACUCUUCUAGCUCACUUACACAUUUUCAAGAGACAAACAGAACCAAUGCACUUGGAUCAUCACCUAUUUCAGAGUUGGCAGACCAUAUGGAGUUCUGCAUCUGUAAACCCAGGACUUUGGGAGACCAAGGACGGAGGA